AUUGAACGCUGGCGGCAGGCUUAACACAUGCAAGUCGAGCGGGGUGAUGGUGCUUGCACUAUCACUUAGCGGCGGACGGGUGAGUAAUGCUUAGGAAUCUGCCUAUUAGUGGGGGACAACAUCUCGAGAGGGAUGCUAAUACCGCAUACGUCCUACGGGAGAAAGCAGGGGAUCACUUGUGACCUUGUGCUAAUAGAUGAGCCUAAGUCGGAUUAGCUAGUUGGUGGGGUAAAGGCCUACCAAGGCGACGAUCUGUAGCGGGUCUGAGAGGAUGAUCCGCCACACUGGGACUGAGACACGGCCCAGACUCCUACGGGAGGCAGCAGUGGGGAAUAUUGGACAAUGGGGGGAACCCUGAUCCAGCCAUGCCGCGUGUGUGAAGAAGGCCUUAUGGUUGUAAAGCACUUUAAGCGAGGAGGAGGCUUACCUAGUUAAUACCUGGGAUAAGUGGACGUUACUCGCAGAAUAAGCACCGGCUAACUCUGUGCCAGCCGCCGCAGUAA
rnacentral:rRNA from 1 species